UAAGGCGCAUAUAGCCACACAUAGUUAGAGGUUCCUCCUCUCCACAGCACAUAUAUAGGAGGAACCUUUAACUAUGUGUGGCUAUAUGCGCCUUA